CUGCCUCGAUAACUGUGCAUACAAAUUUUCUUCCAAGCGAUACCGAUGAGCUUCGUGUGCAUCGGCACAACAAUAUCCAUCGCCGAAGCAGGCAUAAUAGAGAUCCAUGUAUGCUUCUACAUCGCCAAAUAACAUCUCCAUCCCCUUGCAAUUAGGGUUAGGUCUGGUGCUAGGAUUUGGGUUUCUUAGAAUCCAAGAUGCUCCUCGACCUCUUCGGCGGUGGAGGUGGCGGCGGUGGUCAUCGGAGGGCUUAAACAAGGGGGUAUUUAUUUUCUUUUGGUUUACCUUUGUCCUUUUCAUUUGAUGCUGAUCACAGUCUUUUGGAUUGCUCUGCUUAAGAUGUGUACGUUCAUUGUUGGUGCGCCAAUGAGGAUGUUGGAAGAAAUGAGAGAUAUGGUUCACUUAAUAGUUUAUGCCAAAGUCUUCACUGUUGUACUCCGGUCAAGCUUGGCUAUAAUGCUAGUAAGAAUGGUUAUCGAUAAGUUCGGUAUACUAGCUAUUCGCAAUUCAUGGUAUGAUGCAAGACAAAUCGCUGAUCAUGUUUCUACAAGGUUACACAAAGCCACUGAUGUGUAAAGGCUGGGAAAUGGCUCUUUUGGAGUACACAAUGGCCAUGCUUAUAGAUUCUGCGUCGAAAUCAAAGCCACCACUAACUAGAUGACUUGCUGAGAUCUCAUGCCCUUGCAGUUAGGGUUAAGGGAGCUUAGAGUGAGCAUGAAUGAGGGAGCUUUCAUUCUCACUGGCUAUGUUUUGGAUUUCUCAUCCUUAUUGAAGACAUCGCCUUAGCUGCUUAAGAUGUUGGAGCUCCUUCAACAAGCAAACCUUUGUGUUGCAGCAAAAUUUGAAGAGAAAAGGUAUUUGUCAGGGAAAUUACUCUUAUAUUGUCUUUGAUGUAUUUCAUUUUCUGUUUCUGCUAUACACAGGAACUAUUACACAAAAAAGCCUUGAAGGAUUUAGAUGCCAAACUAUAGGAAUAACAGGUUAGGGUGUUCUCCAAUUUCAUGACCUCUUGGCCUACUUGCACUAAAUGAAAAAUUAUAUGGGUAGUUUUGGAUCCACGGCUGGCCCAAUAAUCAUAAAAUUUCAAUUACCCAAUUGGUAAGCUUGCAGAGCAUAUUGCAGCUUCAAGCAUUUUAUAAGCACGUUGCUUCCAAAUGGUGAAUGUGUGCCACUUAUUUGACGAAUUUGGAGUGAAUUGUAUUCCAUGAAGUAAUUUGUAGCUCUUAUGCAUAUGCUUUGAUUAAUACAUGUUGCAUUAAUGUAGGCAAAAAGGCUUAAGUUAAUGUUCUACUUAUGGCGUUUAAUAAUGGCCCAUGCAUAUAGAUCAUGUUUCAUAUAUUAAAUUUUAUUUUUGUUGUGUUGUUUUACCAACCAAUGCAUAUCCUUUUCUUCCAUUGGGAGUGUUAUAGAUAAUUGUGAUUUUCAGCUUAGGUACGAUCUUCUUUAAUUUGGUGCUACCUCAUUCCUUUCAUUGGUUGCUUAUAUGUGAUAACCAUUUUGUUAUGAUGCUCGACAACAAUUCAAACAAAUGCAUACAUUAAGAGAAUACUUGCAAGUUUUAUACAGGGAUUAGGAAUGACAACUUUUUCAGAGCUGCUAGUUGCAUCUACUCAAAUUUUUCUAUCAACUUAUCAACCAAAUGACUGAUAGAAUAAAAUCUUUAGAUGAAUUUGGUCAGUUGUUAUUGUUGAUGGAUCUCAAAUUCAAAUCGUGAUGUUUUGGAUGGCAAUCUUUUAUUGGACAUUCUAUUACUGAUUUUUAAGAACAUUAAUAUUUUGAGAUCAUGAGUAUUUCAAUUACUGAGUCUAACACCAGGAAUGAAACCUAUAUAUUGAAGGAACAGGAACCUGAUUAACUAGAAUAAUUGGUUUAAGAUCUAUAAUGUUAUGGGUCAAUUUUUGUUAUAUCCACUUACCUGAUUAGGUAUGAAGAAAUAAGUUGGCUUAUGAAAGGAUAGAUUUAUCUAACUAAUUAGGAAAACAGAGUCUAUGUCUAAUAAGAGUUUUUUCACAUUGUUUGCUAAAUAAAUAAGUACAUUGCAAUGCUUUCAAAGAAAUAAGUUGGAAUCCUAUUUUAUCCAUAAAUGCUUCACUGAUUUGGUUAUAUCUUGUAAUUUGGUUUCUCUUCAAGUGUUUUCAUUAAUAAACAUUGGAUAUACACAUAAAACCAAUUGCUUAGGUCUAGCUAUGGAAAUUUUUGUUUAGUUCAUGGUUGAUUUUAAAUGGAACUCUUUUUUUUCAUAAAACUUUUUUUGUGAAGAAGGAUGUUAUAAUGCAGCCAUAUCUCUUUCAACUUCAUAUUAACAGUUGAAACAGAAUUGACUAGUUAUUGUUCUGCUUUGUUUGAAUACUAUCUAUAAUACCCUUUUGAUUUCACUCUGUAGGUUAGGCUUAUCUUGUUGUCCAUUUUAAUAAUUUCAUAUUGGAUUGAAAAAAGUUUCAUUGUCUAGAAGAGGGUGAUGAUAGGUCUGUCUUCUGAUUGGUUGGUGGACUUAGAAAUGUUAAAAUAUAUUUACCAUAUAUCUUAUAAAAUCAUCAAAUGAAACAUGCAUGUUUCACCUUUAUGUCUUUCCCAGAGAAAUAUGAAAGUUGCUUUUUUUUUUAGCCAGAAAUCUCACUCAUGUUCAGAUGUCAUGUGGUCCUACUGGCACGUUCCAUGUCACAUAUGCCCAUCAUUCUGAUUGCUCUGUCUGCUGGUAUAUAUCAAGGUUGAAGCCAAAUUCAUUUUACGAUUGUUGUAUAAGAAACAGGGGCUGGUUUAGGGGGCUGUACUUCCAUGAGUGAUAUUUCUGGCUGUUCUCCUUUCAACUUAGUUAUCUCCUUUAAAAAUUUCAUUGCCUUUUAAUUAGUCCAAUUAAAUAUAUGAAUACGUUGAAUUUGCUGAUUAAUUCAACAUUUGUAUGUAUAUGGAUAUUCAACAUAUAAGUAGGUCCAUGCAAAGACUUAUUUUCUUCUUAAACAUCAAGGUAUUAAUCUCUUGCAUACUCACCCGUCUCUACGCAAAAUACAUUGACAAUUAAUAAAUAAAUAAAUAUAUAGAUAAAGGGUGCCCAUUGGAUUCGUAUUUUUUUAUUUAAGUUUUUUUCCAUAUACCUUAUGUUAGUUAUUGCAUAUAUACUAUAAAAUUAACAUUGCAUGUAUCAUUUUGGAAAUCUUUUUCUAUUGUCAGUAUAUAUAUACCUCGCCUAUUCAAUUCCUGAUCCUUUUUUAUUAUUUUUAAUUAAACCUAUAGAUAUAUAUAUAUAUAUUAAAUUCCCUACUCUAGUUAGUGAUAACCUUCCUUUCGCUUAUCAUAUUUUAAAUGAAUUGACUGUAGAAUUGAACAAAAAUGGUUCCAUUUUACAUUGACUUAAGAACAUCGAUUAGGAGCUUAAUGAAGAGUUUGUGAAAAAUAAUUUAAAGUGUGAAAAGUAGGAGGAAUACGCCAUUGCUUACUUUAAUUGUCUUCCCAUCAAUUAUUGAUGGGGCAGGUGCUAAUGCAAUUUUGAAAUUAAUAGCAAAACUUUCUUUGUCCAAAAUUAAAAUUUUAUCUGAAACUAAUUGAGUUAUGCACUUUCAUCCUUAGUUGGUAGAAUAAUUAAAAGAAAAAAAGAUGAUAAUUUCCGUCACUUGUGUUUCUAUUACUGUUUUGGUGGCAGUGCUCCUUGGAUUUUGUGUAGGAUGUUUGUUUAUUGUGUCAUCUUAAAUUGAUUGCUGGUAAUGUUUUCAGCCUGCAGAAAGUGGACUUGGUGGGUUUUCGUUGAAAUUAUAUGGAAAAUUUGGAAGGAUUCUAGCUUUAUAUUAUAGUGGCAGACUGAGAGGUGGAGUUUGAUUGCUUUGGCAUCUCAAUGUCUGGGAUGUAUUGAAGUCCUGCAAUUUGAACAAAUAUUAACUUGUUUUGGAAGACAUUAUUUGUAAGUUGCCUACUAAGGCAUCUGAACCUCUACAUGGAUCUGGCAGUGGGAAGUUUUAUGUAUCCCAUACUUGAACAAGCAUAUAUAUAUAACACAUUCAAAUGCAGUACUAAGAAACAUAAAAUCAAUUAAAGUAUAGCAAUUUGACAUUGUAGAAUAUAGUGCGAGAAAUAUAAAUGCUAACUAUUACUUAUAUGCACACUAUUGGAUCCACUUAGAACAAUUUUAAAAUAUUAGAAGUAAGUUUACGUUAACUUUUUUUAUCAUUGUCAUUCCUCUUGGGCCCAAUCAAAACGAGUCUUGCCUUGUUUCAAAGAUGUAUUGAAUGUGUUACUAUCUGAAUAGGCUUGAAUAAUUACACUGUAGGAUAUCCACAUCCUUUUUCUCAUUCUAAAACUUGUUUGUCUAAUGCUUGUGUGUAUAUGCAUGUUUUUCUUUGUGGUUUUUUGUUAGUGUUGUCACUAUGUUGCCUUCUUGAUUGGGAUUGGUUAGUUGUGUUGAUUUGUUGUAUAUGCUCCUAGUAAGAGUUAAGAGGCCCUUCUAAAUUAUGAGUAUAGCCCUUUCCUAUGAAUUUGGUCAAAAUAUUGGGCAAAUUCAAGUUGUACCUUUUAGCCAUAGCAUCGUCAUCCUUAGUUUUCCUUUAUGUAGUGUGAUCUAUUUAGGAAGGCAGAAGAUAUAAUCUAAUGUUAUGCACAGGCAUCCAUUCCAAACAAAUUUAUUUUUGUAUGUCUGGGAAAGGUGGCAUCUUUAAACAUUGGAAUAUAAUAAUAGAUGGAUAUAAUCCUUAAUUUUCUUGAUCAACUCUUACUCUAUUAGUUCACAUUGAUAGAAUUAUGAUAUCAAUGCAAUGCAUGUCUGUGAUUUGGUCUCUCAAGGUUAAAGCACAACACAUUUUUAUCAUUCAAGUCCACCGCUGGAACGGUGAGAUCUAGUCUUUGCUCUACUACAUUUAGGAAAUUAUUAUUUCAAGUUUGUUGAACUUCUCACUUUCAACUGUCAAAUCUUUGUCCUUAUUCUCUUUUAGCCUGAAUGGAUGGCACCAGAGGUGUUGCACAAUGAACCAUCAAAUAAGAAGUGGAAAAAGAUAGGCUUCUGUCACAUUGAUGUUGAACUCGCGAAUAUACAGGAACAGAUUAAGAAAAUGGAAACAGCCGAUGAGUGGCAAAUGGAUGCUUGGUAUGGGGUUUGGCUCCGGGCUUUGUACAACAGGGGACAUCAAUACGAGCUAUUUUCACAACUCUGUCAAAAUCAGACAACACUUGAACAAAGUGAGAGAG